UACCCGGUGUCGCUGCAGCCGCUCCCGCCCCGGCUGCCGGGCCCUCAUUCCCGAAUUGGCGCUGGAGAGGCGGAUCGUGAUCGGGAGAUUUUUAAUAUGAAGCUUCUGGGUCUCCACCAACCCAGCCUUGCCACAGGUCACUUCUCAGUGCUGAUCCACAUGGCUGUGCCACAGCAGGAUGCUGUGUCUGCACCCAGGUCUCAUCCACAAUAUCCACAAUGUUCACUACUCCACUUGCUGCCUAUUGAGAGAACAAACUGGUUCUGGAAGCCACAUUCAUAAUGAACUGAUUAAAAUCAUUGUAGUUGCUCUGGAAGAAAACAAUCACAUUCUCAUUCAAAACCACA